CUCCUAGUGGCUUAAGGGAUAAGGCACUGGCCUCCUAAGCCAGGGAUUCUGGGUUCAAGUCUCACCUGGGGUA
rnacentral:tRNA from 1 species